rnacentral:tRNA from 1 species
GCGUGUAGCUCAGUGGGAGAGCGCUGCCCUUACAAGGCAGAUGUCGCAGGUUCAAUCCCUGCCACGCC